UACGUAGGGGGCAAGCGUUAUCCGGAAUUACUGGGUGUAAAGGGUACGUAGGCGGCCCAUUAAGUCAGAUGUGAAAGCCCGGAGCUCAACUCCGGGAUUGCAUUUGAAACUGGUGGGCUAGAGUACAGGAGAGGAAAGUGGAAUUCCUAGUGUAGCGGUGAAAUGCGUAGAUAUUAGGAAGAACACCAGUGGCGAAGGCGGCUUUCUGGACUGUAACUGACGCUGAGGUA
rnacentral:rRNA from 1 species